rnacentral:lncRNA from 1 species
GUUCUUCCAUAAGUAGCUUUAUUUCCUCCAAAUUCUUGAAUCUCGGUCAUCUUCUUCCUCCUACCAUAGGUUUUGGUGUUUUUAGAAAUGGAAUUGGAAGGAAAUUUCGAUAGAUAGAUAGAUAGUGAGAGAUAGAGUGACAUAGUGUGUAGAAGAUGAAACUAAAGGAGAAUUUGAAAUUUGAAACCAAAGAGAGAGGAACGUGAUGUUGCUUUCAUUGUCUGAACUCUCUGAAACGUGCAGUGCUGUUCAGGGGAUUUGCAUAAAUGGAGCUAGGUUUUGCUGUGUACAACGCGUGGAGGGAGAAAGGUUAUGCGAGAAGAAGUAAUUUUUGCCAGAUAGCGAUUUGUUUUUUCUCUUUUGUUUGGGUUUGUUGGACUGGACCGAAUAGGAUGGACUGGUGUUUUUUGGCCCAGCAAGAAAUGAGAUGAAAGGGAGGGAAAAGAAAUUCAAAAUGAUGGCCAGAAGAAGCAAAGUUUUUGUCAUUUUGUCCAGCUAAGAUUUCUUCUGCUGCAUUGUGUGAUUGACACAUGGCAAAACUUACCCUAAAGCUGUGUUGAAUGUGUGUAGUUAGAAUGAUUGU